GAUGAAGAACGUAGCGAAAUGCGAUAAGUAAUGCGAAUUGCAGAAUUUCCGUGAGUCAUCGAAUCUUUGAACGCACAUUGCGCCCCCUGGUAUUCCGGGGGGCAUGCCUGUUCGAGCGUCAUUUCACCACUCAAGCCUCGCUUGGUAUUGGGCGACGCGGUCCGCCGCGCGCCUCAAAUCGACCGGCUGGGUCUUUCGUCCCCUCAGCGUUGUGGAAACUAUUCGCUAAAGGGUGCCGCGGGAGGCCACGCCGUAAAACAACCCCAUUUCUAAGGUUGACCUCGGAUCAGGUAGGGAUACCCGCUGAACUUAAGCAUAUCAAUAAGCGGAGGA
rnacentral:misc_RNA from 1 species